GGAGUUUGGACCGUGUCUCAGUUCCAAUGUGGGGGACCUUCCUCUCAGAACCCCUACCGAUCGAGGGCUUGGUGGGCCGUUACCUCACCAACCAGCUAAUCAGACGCGGGUCCAUCUUAUCCCGAUAAAUCUUUUCACACUGUAUCAUGCGAUACCGUGCGCUUAUGCGGUAUUAGCAGUAAUUUCUCACUGUUAUCCCCCUGGAUAAGGCAGGUUACCCACGCGUUACUCACCCGUCCGCCACUAAGUUUAGUCAAAAGCAAGCUUUCAUCUAAACUCCGUUCGACUUGCAUGUGUUAAGCACGCCGCCAGCGUUCAUC
rnacentral:rRNA from 1 species